UUUUGAACAUUUUUCUUUUAGUCCAAUUUCAUGAGCCCAAAUGAGGAGCCCAAUCCCAAACCCAUAAGAUCUUUUAAUUUUUUGGACAAUACACAAGACUAAAAAAAACCCUAGCUACUAGACUUCAUCUUCCACCAACAAAACAAGAAGACUAAACCCUAAAGACCCUAAAAAAGAUCACUACCAGCCGCCAAACGACCCCCUGGACCCGCCAGCUCUUCUCCACAGCACCCUACACAGCCGCGACCACCCUCAUCAAAUCAGGGUCACCUCCAUAUCCCUCACCAACGGCCCAGCCACUCCAAACGCCCAAAAACUUGCCGGAACUGCCCUAUUCUUCAACACACAACCACGCCGGCCACGCCCAAUCCUUCAUGUUCAUUCCCUUCUCUCUCCCUCCUCGUUCCCUCUAUUCCUUUUCUCUGUUACUGCCUCGCCGGAGAAAUCAUUCGAGCUCGCCAGAGACCAGCUGCCUCCUUUCGUCAUCGCACACCCUCAUGUCCACGUCCAGAAGAUAGAGAGGGGAACAGUUUUUUGAUCUUCAAACUUUACUGCUGCUCCUCUUCACAAUUUCAAAGACAAACACAAACAAAUGAUUAUGGAGUUUGAGUAAGAAGUCGGUGUCGGAGUCGGGUUCGAGGUUUCUGGGCAGAUUCGUGGUUCCGUCGCGUUGUCCGUUGUUUAAGUUUUCCAUUAUCGCAUUUCAAAUUUCAUUUGGCAAAACUAUCUAAGGUUCUUUUCUUAACUUGUUCUUGGUUAAUAUAAAUUGACGUCUUGUGCAUUUAUAUGUUAAUGAAUGAAGUUUUGCUUCUCCGAAUGUGAUGUUUCUUUCAUUAAUCUUCAUGCCUAGUUGAUGCUCA
rnacentral:lncRNA from 1 species